rnacentral:pre_miRNA from 1 species
CUGGCCUUCACAUUGAUUUCCCAGAUGGAUUCGUUUUCUGAGAUCAUUGUGAAAGCUGAUU